rnacentral:rRNA from 1 species
UAAGGGCGCACGGUGGAUGCCUUGGCACUAGAAGCCGAUGAAGGACGUUACUAACGACGAUAUGCUUUGGGGAGCUGUAAGUAAGCUUUGAUCCAGAGAUUUCCGAAUGGGGAAACCCAGCAUGAGUUAUGUCAUGUUAUCGAUAUGUGAAUACAUAGCAUAUCAGAAGGCACACCCGGAGAACUGAAACAUCUUAGUACCCGGAGGAAGAGAAAGAAAAUUCGAUUCCCUUAGUAGCGGCGAGCGAAACGGGAAGAGCCCAAACCAACAAGCUUGCUUGUUGGGGUUGUAGGACACUCUAUACGGAGUUACAAAGGACGACAUUAGACGAAUCAUCUGGAAAGAUGAAUCAAAGAAGGUAAUAAUCCUGUAGUCGAAAAUGUUGUCUCUCUUGAGUGGAUCCUGAGUACGACGGAGCACGUGAAAUUCCGUCGGAAUCUGGGAGGACCAUCUCCUAAGGCUAAAUACUCUCUAGUGACCGAUAGUGAACCAGUACCGUGAGGGAAAGGUGAAAAGCACCCCGGGAGGGGAGUGAAAUAGAACCUGAAACCGUGUGCUUACAAGUAGUCAGAGCCCGUUAAUGGGUGAUGGCGUGCCUUUUGUAGAAUGAACCGGCGAGUUACGAUUUGAUGCAAGGUUAAGCAGUAAAUGUGGAGCCGUAGCGAAAGCGAGUCUGAAUAGGGCGUUUAGUAUUUGGUCGUAGACCCGAAACCAGGUGAUCUACCCUUGGUCAGGUUGAAGUUCAGGUAACACUGAAUGGAGGACCGAACCGACUUACGUUGAAAAGUGAGCGGAUGAACUGAGGGUAGCGGAGAAAUUCCAAUCGAACCUGGAGAUAGCUGGUUCUCUCCGAAAUAGCUUUAGGGCUAGCCUCAAGUGAUGAUUAUUGGAGGUAGAGCACUGUUUGGACGAGGGGCCCCUCUCGGGUUACCGAAUUCAGACAAACUCCGAAUGCCAAUUAAUUUAACUUGGGAGUCAGAACAUGGGUGAUAAGGUCCGUGUUCGAAAGGGAAACAGCCCAGACCACCAGCUAAGGUCCCAAAAUAUAUGUUAAGUGGAAAAGGAUGUGGCGUUGCCCAGACAACUAGGAUGUUGGCUUAGAAGCAGCCAUCAUUUAAAGAGUGCGUAAUAGCUCACUAGUCGAGUGACACUGCGCCGAAAAUGUACCGGGGCUAAACAUAUUACCGAAGCUGUGGAUUGUCCUUUGGACAAUGGUAGGAGAGCGUUCUAAGGGCGUUGAAGCAUGAUCGUAAGGACAUGUGGAGCGCUUAGAAGUGAGAAUGCCGGUGUGAGUAGCGAAAGACGGGUGAGAAUCCCGUCCACCGAUUGACUAAGGUUUCCAGAGGAAGGCUCGUCCGCUCUGGGUUAGUCGGGUCCUAAGCUGAGGCCGACAGGCGUAGGCGAUGGAUAACAGGUUGAUAUUCCUGUACCAC